GGUGAUAGAACGCCAGCCAGCAGAGGUGAGCUGAGACAAGAACACCGUGGUGUUGUCAGCAGGACGGGGCUACCUCAUGGAACAAAAGGCGCCGUGGAUGUACAGCAGCACCGCAUGUCUACUUGUGGCGAUUGGAGCAGUGAUGGCGACAACAGUUGUAGCGCAGCGCCCUCGUGAAGGCUGCUGUUAUGGGAAGUCUAGCUUUAACCACGGCCAGACUGUCGCCUCCUUACCGUCGUGCUGCCUCUAUUUGACCUGCCACGAUGGUGACAUCCGAUAGCGGUACAUUGGCAAGCCUGGUGACAGAGGCUGCUGUGAGUUUGACGGGUUGAUCUACCCUAACGGAGCUGAACUAACUUCCCAUUGUGCGGAGCUAAUCUGCAGGCGAGGAGUGUGGGUUGCCUCUCAGGAGAUUGCAGUGUUGUGAGUGCUGCUGCUGUUUUCCUAUUUCCUUCAUUUAGAGAUGGGCCGCUUUUUCAUAUAGAACAACUGUAAUUACCAUGUUUCUCCACCAGGUAAGCACUGCUACCUGUUCAACGACCCUCAUAUCCACACCCUUGAUGGUCACUACUACGACUGGCACGGUAUUUGUAAUUACACCGUGACGCAGCCUGGAAAUAGUCUUUAUCCUGACUACGGUGUCUUCAGUGACUUCCGCCAUUGUUACAACAGUGCCUCCUGCCUGCACGUGUCCACCUUCAAGAAUGACCGAUACACAGCAAUCACUUUGCGCCACAACAACCCGUUCACGAUUCUAGUGAAUAACGAUGAAUUCGUGGUGCCGACAACGGGCGUGACCGAGGCGCUCUCCUCUCACGGCAAGCACCCGGUCUUGGUCUGGCGGGACGGGGACUGUAUCUACCUGGUUGGCUCCUCAAAGAUUAUGAUCCAGCACUGCCGCCACCGCUUGGACGUGUGGGCACACCCGUCACACGUGAACGUUCUGUAUGGUCUGUGUUAAUGCUUCAACUUCCACAAGGAAGAUGACUUCACGUCGCGCGACCUGACGCAGCACCCGCUCCACCCCUGGCCCGUGGCCUUCG